UUAUUUGUAGAUCGAUCAGAUGAUGGUGGAAAAUGUCGAUCAAAGCCCGAGACGAUGUCGUCAAAUGUCUUGUUUUGUGCACAACCCAAAGAUGUUCAGUUAACCGUCACAGAGGAGGUGAGAAACCAGAAAACACUGUUCUGCUUUCAAAAAAAUUACUUGAAUAUCGAGUAAUAGAUGGUGAAUAAUAGAUGACACCUUAACUGAUUAAUCGUCGCAGCUCUAGGUUUCGUAUCUCAAGUCUAAAAACAUGUUCGAUAUUCAGUGCAGUAAACACACAUCUGUUGACGUUAUUCUGCAGGUUCUGGUUCUGUUAAAGCCUCCAAACAAACACUGGGAUGCUCGGAGAAGUCGCGCUCUGCUCCGUUUGUAGUUUAUUACUUCCACAAAGAGCCGAAGAGUGAUGCAUCCGACUCGGGCUGCACGGCUUCCUGGCUCUGACUCUCAUUAACAGACAUUACAACCAGUCGCUCGUCAAUACUGCUGCAGUCCGGGCUCUUAUUGUGGCACAUGAGAUGAAGCGGCCCCUCCCUCCCUCCUUCUGUGCGUGGGGAGGGAGGGAGCGACAGCUGGGACCCGCGGCAGCAGGCCCGGCCCUGCCCAGCCCCGCCCGGCCCGGCCCGGCCCGGCCCGGCCCGGCCCACCCUCCGCUGUCAGCCAAACCCAGUGAACCGUUCAUCCAGAUAUGACAAGGUGAACGAGCCAUUAUGUUCUCUUACACAUGAAUCAAUUCGCAUAAUAACCCAAAGACAACUGAAAUUACGUGUUAAUGAAGGACAUUUAAUGGUGUUUGUAGUGUUGUGUAAGUUUUACGUCAGAUAUUCAGAUAAAUAUAACACAGAAGACAGCUGGAAAAAAAACACUUUAAAGUAUUUUUACAUCUUGUUACAUACUGGAAAGAAGGAUCAUUGUACUUCCUCCACCAGUGAUGAACUGUGAAAGCUAUUAAACCACUAUUUUGAGAAUCAGUUAAAGGAGCAGUCUGUAGUUAUGGGGAAUAAAUGUUAAUCGGAAGAGAAAGAUCUUCACUGACUGACCGACUGUUCAGACUCACCUUUUCAUGACUAAGUAAACAAACUGACCUUAACAGACAACACAAACUCUUUCGUUGUUUACAUGUGGCGGACCCUGCCACCUCUCUGGCUUCAACGCUGUUCUAGGAGAACAGCUUUAUAUUUAUUCACUGAUGGAAAAAAAAGUUUGUUUUAUUACCUCAUUAAUAUUG